rnacentral:ncRNA from 1 species
GGAGUAGAAAACAGCGCGUCAAGUACCGGCUGGAUGGGAGGUUGCCACCGGGCGAAGGGAUUUUCCCGCGAUGCUGAUUUCGCAACCGCCU